rnacentral:rRNA from 1 species
AUGGCGAAGAAGGCAAGGACCACAAUGGGGGAUGAGCCGACGACAAGCUUGCCGCCCGACGCGGACGUGGUGAUAAUCAGCCCCCAGCGAGAAGAGCGUCACGAAGAAGAGGAGCGCCCGGAAGUGAAUCUCGACGUGACGCCCCCAUCGACCACUGUGACGGAACCCAAUUCUCCGGCAAGGACCUCCACCGACGAGCUUGUCUACACUGAUGACGUGCCGACAAGUGAGUCUGCCGGCCGCCAGGCGACGACAACCGGAGUUGUCGGAGGGGAAGUUGUUCCUCCCCAACAGACUUAG